CCUACGGGUGGCAGCAGUGAGGAAUAUUGGGCAAUGGGGGCAACCCUGACCCAGCCAUGCCGCGUGAGUGAAGAAGGUCUUCGGAUUGUAAAGCUCUUUCGGACGUGACGAUGAUGACGGUAGCGUCUAAAGAAGCACCGGCAAACUUCGUGCCAGCAGCCGCGGUAAUACGAAGGGUGCGAGCGGUGUUCGGAAUUACUGGGCGUAAAGGGAGUGUAGGCGGAUAUGUAAGAUAGCGGUGAAAUGCCCCCGCUCAACGGGGUGAAGUGCCAUUGAUACUGCCUUGCUGGAAUGCGGAUGCCGUGGGAGGAAUGUGUGGUGUAGCGGUGAAAUGCAUAGAUAUCACACAGAACACCGAUUGCGAAGGCAUCUCACGAAUCCGCGAUUGACGCUGAUGCACGAAAGCGUGGGUAUCAAACAGGAUUAGAUACCCCGGUAGUC
rnacentral:rRNA from 1 species